rnacentral:rRNA from 1 species
CCUACGGGAGGCAGCAGUGGGGAAUAUUGCACAAUGGGCGAAAGCCUGAUGCAGCGACGCCGCGUGAGGGAUGACGGCCUUCGGGUUGUAAACCUCUUUCAGCAGGGAAGAAGCGAGAGUGAUGGUACCUGCAGAAGAAGCGCCGGCUAACUACGUGCCAGCAGCCGCGGUAAUACGUAGGGCGCAAGCGUUGUCCGGAAUUAUUGGGCGUAAAGAGCUCGUAGGCGGCUUGUUGCGUCGGUUGUGAAAGCCCGGGGCUUAACCCCGGGUCUGCAGUCGAUACGGGCAGGCUAGAGUGUGGUAGGGGAGAUCGGAAUUCCUGGUGUAGCGGUGAAAUGCGCAGAUAUCAGGAGGAACACCGGUGGCGAAGGCGGAUCUCUGGGCCAUUACUGACGCUGAGGAGCGAAAGCGUGGGGAGCGAACAGGAUUAGAUACCCUGGUAGUCCACGCCGUAAACGUUGGGAACUAGGUGUUGGCGACAUUCCACGUCGUCGGUGCCGCAGCUAACGCAUUAAGUUCCCCGCCUGGGGAGUACGGCCGCAAGGCUAAAACUUAAAUGAAUUGACGG